rnacentral:misc_RNA from 1 species
UACGUAGGGUCCAAGCGUUAUCCGGAAUCAUUGGGCGUAAAGCGCUCACAGGCGGAUUCUUAAGUCUGAUGUGAAAGCCCACGGCUCAACCGUGGAGGGUCAUUGGAAACUGGGGAACUUGAGUACAGAAGAGGAGAGUGGAAUUCCAUGUGUAGCGGUGAAAUGCGUAGAGAUGUGGAGGAACACCAGUGGCGAAGGCGACUUUCUGGUCUGUAACUGACGCUGAGGCGCGAAAGCGUGGGGAGCAAACAGG